GACGAACGCUGGCGGCGUGCCUAAUACAUGCAAGUUGAGCGCUGAAGGUUGGUACUUGUACCGACUGGCUGAGCAGCGCACGGGUGAGUAACGCGUGGGGAAUCUGCCUUUGAGCGGGGGACAACAUUUGGAAACGAAUGCUAAUACCGCAUAAAAACUUUAAACACAAGUUUUAAGUUUGAAAGAUGCAAUUGCAUCACUCAAAGAUGAUCCCGCGUUGUAUUAGCUAGUUGGUGAGGUAAAGGCUCACCAAGGCGAUGAUACAUAGCCGACCUGAGAGGGUGAUCGGCCACAUUGGGACUGAGACACGGCCCAAACGCCUACGGGAGGCAGCAGUAGGGAAUCUUCGGCAAUGGACGAAAGUCUGACCGAGCAACGCCGCGUGAGUGAAGAAGGUUUUCGGAUCGUAAAACUCUGUUGGUAGAGAAGAGCGUUGGUGAGAGUGGAAAGCUCAUCAAGUGACGGUAACUACCCAGAAAGGGACGGCUAACUACGUG
rnacentral:rRNA from 1 species